CUUAAGUGACCCUCCCACCUCAUUUCCCUGAGUAGCUGGGACUGCAGGUGCAUGCCACUAUGCCUGGUUAAUUUUUGUAUGUUUUGUAUAGAUGGGGUUUCGCGAUGUUGCCCAGGCUGGUCUCCAACUCCUGGGCUUAAACCAUCCUUCUGCUUUCGCUUCCAAAAGUGCUGGGAUUACAGGCAUGGACUGCCAUGCCUAGCCCAGGGUCUUCUUUUUUUUUUUUGAGAUGGAGUUUUGCUCUUGUUGCCCAGGCUGGAGUGCAGUGGUGCGAUCUCAGCUCACUGCAACCUCCACCUCCCAGGUUCAAGUGAUUCUCCUGCCUCAGCCUCCCGAGUAGCUGGGGUUACAGGUGCAUGCCACCACGCCUGGAUAAUUUUUUGUAUUUCUAGUAGAGAUGGGGUUUCACCAUGUUGGUCAGUCUGGUCUUGAACUCCUGACCUCAAGUGAUCCACCCACCUCGGCCCCCCAAAGUACUGGGAUUACAGGUGUGAGCCACCGCGCCUGGCCAAGGGUCUUCUUUUUAAGGGUGAAUAAUGUUUUGUUGUGUGUGCGUGUGUGUGUGUGCGUAUGCCACAUUUUCUUUUUCCAUUCAUCUGUUGAUGGAGACUUAGAUUGUUUCCGUAUCUUGGCGAUUGGGAGUAAUGCCGCAGUGAAUAUUGGAGUGCAGAUGUCUUUAUGAGGUGUGAUUUGAUCUCCAUUGAGUAUGUGUCCAGAAGAGGGAUAGCUGGGUCUAUGUAAUGUAUACUGAUAAGCAGCACAGAGUGGGCACAUAGGAUAGCAUAGAUGCCAUUUUUCUCACAGAUAGUUUGCCGACCUCUUCCUAGAGUUACGUUUUUCUUGUUCCUGAGACAAUAAUGUGGCUGUAAGUACUAAUAGAGACAGUGGCAUUUGUGGGUUGCUUAUGAUCUGCCAGCCCCUGCGUUAAGUGUUCUCUGUGUCUGUUUCAGAUGGGUCUGCUGUGUGCAGAGGCUCCAUGGGAUGUGUUGUCUUCAUAGUAGCAGGGCGCUGGACCAUGGGUCCGCAAGGUCUCAGCCUUAGAUCCAAGGACAGUCCAAGGAAGUCCUAAGACCAUGGAGUUGGUGAUCUGGGAUCUGGGUUUGCUGAUAUUUCUCACCGUGGUGAGUUGAUGCCAAGAGCCAGAACCCACAGCCAGAGGCUCAGCUGGUCCGUGUUUAUGCAGAUGGGAACCUCAAAUCACUGGUCUCACUUGUCCUUUGUUUC
rnacentral:lncRNA from 1 species